rnacentral:rRNA from 1 species
UACGGAGGGGGCCAGCGUUGUUCGGAAUCAUUGGGCGUAAAGGGCGCGUAGGCGGCCGAUCAAGUCGGAGGUGAAAUCCCUCGGCUCAACUGAGGAAUUGCCUCCGAUACGGUUCGGCUUGAGUCCUGGAGAGGGUAGUGGAAUUCCCAGUGUAGCGGUGAAAUGCGUAGAGACUGGGAAGAACACCAGUGGCGAAGGCGGCUACCUGGACAGGUACUGACGCUGAAGCGCGAAAGCUAGGGGAGCAAACAGG